rnacentral:rRNA from 1 species
UACAGAGGGUGCAAGCGUUGUUCGGAAUUAUUGGGCGUAAAGCGCGUGUAGGCGGCUAUGCAAGUCGGGUGUGAAAGCCCUCAGCUUAACUGAGGAAGUGCGCCCGAAACUGCAAAGCCUGAGUACCGGAGAGGAUGGCGGAAUUCCCCAAGUAGAGGUGAAAUUCGUAGAUAUGGGGAGGAACACCAGUGGCGAAGGCGGCCAUCUGGACGGAUACUGACGCUGAGACGCGAAAGCGUGGGUAGCAAACAGG